GACGAACGCUGGCGGCGUGCCUAAUACAUGCAAGUAGAACGCUGAAGGAGGAGCUUGCUUCUCCGGAUGAGUUGCGAACGGGUGAGUAACGCGUAGGUAACCUGCCUGGUAGCGGGGGAUAACUAUUGGAAACGAUAGCUAAUACCGCAUAAGAGUAGAUGUUGCAUGACAUUUGCUUAAAAGGUGCAAUUGCAUCACUACCAGAUGGACCUGCGUUGUAUUAGCUAGUUGGUGGGGUAACGGCUCACCAAGGCGGCGAUACAUAGCCGACCUGAGAGGGUGAUCGGCCACACUGGGACUGAGACACGGCCCAGACUCCUACGGGAGGCAGCAGUAGGGAAUCUUCGGCAAUGGACGGAAGUCUGACCGAGCAACGCCGCGUGAGUGAAGAAGGUUUUCGGAUCGUAAAGCUCUGUUGUAAGAGAAGAACGAGUGUGAGAGUGGAAAGUUCACACUGUGACUGGUAUCUACCAGAAA
rnacentral:rRNA from 1 species